AUCCUGGGUGCUGCGGCGGGCGGUGGUGGCGCCGCUCGGGGCCGCGCUCGGGCUCGCCGCCCUGCUCCUCGUGUUCGGCUCGGGACCGGGCAC
rnacentral:tRNA from 1 species